UAGUGGCAGACGGGUGAGUAAUGUAUAGGAAUCUACCUAGUAGUACGGAAUAAUUGUUGGAAACGGCAACUAAUACCGUAUACGCCCUACGGGGGAAAAAUUUAUUGCUAUUGGAUGAGCCUAUAUUAGAUUAGCUAGUUGGUGGAGUAAUAGCCUACCAAGGCAAUGAUCUAUAGCUGAUCUGAGAGGAUGAUCAGCCACACUGGAACUGAGAUACGGUCCAGACUCCUACGGGAGGCAGCAGUGGGGAAUAUUGGACAAUGGGCGAAAGCCUGAUCCAGCCAUGCCGCAUGAGUGAAGAAGGCCUUUGGGUUGUAAAGCUCUUUUAGUGAGGAAGAUAAUGACGGUACUCACAGAAGAAGUCCUGGCUAACUCCGUGCCAGCAGCCGCGGUAAUACGGAGAGGGCUAGCGUUAUUCGGAAUUAUUGGGCGUAAAGGGCGCGUAGGCUGGUUAAUAAGUUAAAAGUGAAAUCCCGAGGCUUAACCUUGGAAUUGCUUUUAAAACUAUUAAUCUAGAGAUUGAAAGAGGAUAGAGGAAUUCCUGAUGUAGAGGUAAAAUUCGUAAAUAUUAGGAGGAACACCAGUGGCGAAGGCGUCUAUCUGGUUCAAAUCUGACGCUGAAGCGCGAAGGCGUGGGGAGCAAACAGGAUUAGAUACCCUGGUAGUCCACGCUGUAAACGAUGAAUGUUAAAUAUGGGAAGUUUACUUUCUGUAUUACAGCUAACGCGUUAAACAUUCCGCCUGGGGACUACGGUCGCAAGAUUAAAACUCAAAGGAAUUGACGGGGACCCGCACAAGCGGUGGAGCAUGUGGUUUAAUUCGAUGCAACGCGAAAAACCUUACCACUCCUUG
rnacentral:rRNA from 2 species